rnacentral:rRNA from 1 species
CCUACGGGGGGCUGCAGUAAGGAAUAUUGCGCAAUGGACGAAAGUCUGACGCAGCAACGCCGCGUGCAGGAUGAAGGCCCUCUGGGUUGUAAACUGCUGUAGCAGGGGAAUACUGCCCACCUCGGGUGGGAGAGAAUGUACCCUGAAAGUAAGCGCCGGCUAACUACGUGCCAGCAGCCGCGGUAAUACGUAGGGCGCAAGCGUUGUCCGGAUUCACUGGGUGUAAAGGGUGCGCAGGCGGAUUCGUUAGUCAGAGGUGAAAUCUUACGGCUUAA